GACGAACGCUGGCGGCGUGCUUAACACAUGCAAGUCGAGCGAGCAGAUUCCCUUCGGGGAUGAAGCUAGCGGCGGACGGGUGAGUAACACGUGGGCAACCUGCCUUAUAGAGGGGGAUAGCCUUCCGAAAGGAAGAUUAAUACCGCAUAACAUCAGAUUACCGCAUGGUAGACUGAUCAAAGGAGCAAUCCGCUAUAAGAUGGGCCCGCGUCGCAUUAGCUAGUUGGUGAGGUAACGGCUCACCAAGGCGACGAUGCGUAGCCGACCUGAGAGGGUGAUCGGCCACAUUGGGACUGAGACACGGCCCAGACUCCUACGGGAGGCAGCAGUGGGGAAUAUUGCACAAUGGGGGAAACCCUGGUGCAGCAACGCCGCGUGAGUGAUGAAGGCCUUCGGGUUGUAAAGCUCUUUGAUCAGGGACGAUAAUGACGGUACCUGAAGAACAAGCCACGGCUAACUACGUGCCAGCCGCCGCUGUAACAC
rnacentral:rRNA from 1 species